AGUGAACGCUGGCGGUAGGCCUAACACAUGCAAGUCGAACGGCAGCACAGUAAGAGCUUGCUCUUACGGGUGGCGAGUGGCGGACGGGUGAGGAAUACAUCGGAAUCUACUUUUUCGUGGGGGAUAACGUAGGGAAACUUACGCUAAUACCGCAUACGACCUACGGGUGAAAGCAGGGGAUCUUCGGACCUUGCGCGAUUGAAUGAGCCGAUGUCGGAUUAGCUAGUUGGCGGGGUAAAGGCCCACCAAGGCGACGAUCCGUAGCUGGUCUGAGAGGAUGAUCCGCCACACUGGAACUGAGACACGGUCCAGACUCCUACGGGAGGCCGCAGUGGGGAAUAUUGGACAAUGGGCGCAAGCCUUAUCCAGCCAUACCGCGUGGGUGAAGAAGGCCUUCCGGUUGUAAAGCCCUUUUGUUGGGAAAGAAAAGCAGCAGGUUAAUACCCCGCUGUUCUGACGGUACCCAAAGGAUAAGCACCGGCUAACUUCGUG
rnacentral:rRNA from 1 species